rnacentral:lncRNA from 1 species
AUGGAUCUGACAUCCAACCACCAGCCCUUUCUUUGGGCACAGCUCGAGAAAAUCCCCAAGCAGAUCUUCAAGCAGAUUUCUUUCCCCCCCAAAGAUCUUGCAUCUUCCCGGCCUCUUUACUCUGCUGUUGUGAGACAAGAUGGAUUCCCACCAGUAGCUCGGCGCCUACCGAUUGCAAGUCGUCUUAAUCCCUCAAUCCUUGGCCGACCUCCUCCGACUUCAAGAGUUCUGAGCAGCGGUAAGGUUGUUGAUUUGACAAGGCGCAAUAACCAUGCCUUCCAUUCCCAAAGCAGCGUUCCUUCCCAGGCACAGCAAGAGCAUUCAUGGCAGGAAGUCAAGCAAAAGUUCUGGUGGAGGAAGAAAUCCCCAUUCAAUUCCUCCAACAACCAAGAGAUUAUGGCUGCAAGGAAGCUGAGAUUUCUCAAACACACAGAAGGGAUCCGCUUCGUUGUUGGGUUUGCAAAAGAUUCGGCCAUCUCUCUUCAGCCUGCAGAGAGCGUCGCUAUAAAUUCCAGCAAUCAAAGCAGCUUUCACCACCUCUUUCGCACCCACCUUCACCACCACUGCUCUCCUCCUCAGCCUUCCCCCCCCCCCCUCACCACCUCCACUGCCCCGACCUCCAUGGCUUCAGUCCCCAGUGGUCUGGUCUCUCGACCAGAUUUUGGUAGCUGCAUGGUGGCGGCGACAAGCGAGAUGGAAAGACUGAAGCAACUCUUCACGGCAGGAUCAGUGGUGACUUGGUCAGAUGAGGGCCAGAAGGUGGAAAUCGGCACCUUUGCCGAUGACAUCCGCUCGGCUUUCCACAUCCAUCGUUCCGACAUUCAGAUCACAAAAUUCCAUCCAGUAGAUUUCUUCCUCACUUUCGUUAAUCAUAGCGAUCGUGAGGAGGUUCUACAAGAACCAAGAUUGGUGACCCAAAGCGGAAGAGACCUCUUCUCUCGACAGGGUCGGGUCUUCAUGUGGCACUACGGAGUGCCUGAUGAUGUCACCCGGAUGAGGUCAAUGGCUCACCCAAUUCAAGCCUGCAGAACCCUUCCGGCGCCGGAGAGAAGGUCUGAUGAUGAAGACGACCACGAGCAGCGUUCAAGAAGGAGGCAUAGAAGUCGCUCUCUUUGGAACCGCUUAGGCGGUCAUUCGUCAAGCAAAAGCAGAGAGCCUGGUCUUGACAACCGGAGUUCAUACAAUCAAGAGACAAGGGGAAGACAGAGAGAACGAGCUGCUGACAUCAAUAGAAGUAGAAGCCGACAUCUGUCCAGGUCGGUCGAACCUGGAGAAACAAGAAUCAGGCGUCAAUCGGCGACACCUCCGCAUCUCUCUGACCCUGCUCCAGCAGACAAG